rnacentral:rRNA from 1 species
GAUGAACGCUGGCGGCGUGCCUAAUACAUGCAAGUCGAGCGAACAGCCGAGGAGCUUCCCCCUCUGACUUUUGCCGCGGACGUGUGAAUAACACGUGGAUCACCUUCCUAUAAGUCUGGGAUAACUUCGGGACCCCGGCGCUUAUCCGCGAUAACCUUUUCUACCGUAUUGUUCACUAGUUAAAGACGGUUUUGCUGUCACUCCUAGAUACUUCUGCGCCAAGUUCGCUAGUUGUUAAGGUCACCGCUUACCAAGGCAACGAUGCGUAACCGACCUGACGGGGUGGUCGGCCACGCUGGAACCGAGACACAGUCCAGACGCCAACGGGAGGCAGCAGUAGGGAAUCUUCCGCAAUGGGCGAAAGCCUCACGGAGCAACACCGCGUGAGUGAUGAAGGUCUGCGGAGCGUAAAACUCUGUGAUUAGGGAAGAAAAAAUGUGUAGGUAACUAUGAACGUCUUGACGGUACCUGAUCAGAAAGCCACGGCUAACUACGUG